rnacentral:misc_RNA from 1 species
UACUCUCACACUUCCAAUUCUUUGGAUUGGGAGCGGUGGACUUGGGCGCUGCUGCUUUACUGUGGCUCACCUCAAAUGCAUUAGUGCAACCCUUGGUUAGACAUAGUACGGCGUGAUAAGUGUCUUCGCUGGCGCCUCACUUUUAGAGGGUGGCUGAUCAGGGGCUCUGUGCUUCAAACCGUCUUUGGACAAUGGCUGACA